AUCUCUGUUCACAACUCCUAAAUCGCGCGCGCGCUAAGGCGGGUGCUGAUGGUGAUGGGCAAUGCAGAAGGCGGGGCGAGACAUCCAGUGGCUGCUGCGAUCGCAACCCUUCUCCGACGAUCCAUCCAUUCGCCGCAUCAGUCUCUAGGCCUCGCCUUAGGGUAAUUGUCCUUGAAAUGGAGCUUCAUUAUCAGAAGUUUGAAUUUGCUACCCGUGAUGAGAUGUGCUGUUCAAACAGAGAGCCAGGCUAAUCAGACACCCAGGUCAUCACCUGGUUCCAGUUGACAAUGGCACAAGGGGGAAAAUAUCCAGGGCAUUUGAUGUUCAAUGGGCUUCCUAUCUUGAAUUUUACUUUUUCCCAUGGAGGAAUUAAAUAUCUUAAGUGCUCAAGUGGAAGGAGGCCAAUAAGCCACGCUGAUCUCAGCCUUAUCGCAAAGUGGAAAAAAGGAACGGUACAGGCAUGCCUUUAGCUUUGUGGCACAUUUUCUUGUUAUGGGGAACCAUGCAACCCACAAAAGUCAGAGUUCUUAUCUUUUAGCUGGCAAUAAAUAGAAUCAACAAAUCCCGACCCUAGCAGACUGCCAAGUUACUGUCAGAAACUGGAGAAAGAAUGACAAAUUAAUGGCUAAGGCCCUACUUUGAACAAGUAGCAAGAUAUUUUCUCUCUUUGGGCACCCUUAGCCUGACUUUUUGCCAUCUGAUCGAUACCAUGAUUAAGCCUUGAAUUAUUGGCAAUCCGUUGUUGCUUCUCUUCAUGACUUGUUGAAAAUUGGCUUCGUCCAUGUGCUUGACCGCUGACUUCGGAGCUAUACUUCUUCUUAGGGUCCGGAAGACUUGGAUUAGCAUAGCAAACAUAGAUCUAUUGCAACUUUUGCACACAUACAUAACACCAGACCCAUACUUCCACACUUUAUGCCUCUAGAUGCACACGCCACACGCAUAUUAAGUUGGUAUGUAUUUAUUCAGGACAUACCGUAUUCACCACUUUCGCAUGCCUUUCUCUUGUAUUCUUGUUAUUUUGAGCUCUAAAUUGAGUUUGAGUAACUUGAUUUGUUUUGAAAUCCAAUUUUAGAGUUCGUAUUCAAUCGAUGUGUGAAAGUAAUGAGUUCCAAAAUGCCUAAUAUAUUAGCUAACUUGUAUAAGAAAUUCUUUU